GGCCAUUGUAGGUUUGUGAGAUAGGACUGCUCACUGAACAAUAAGCAAGUUAUGGUCUGUGCACCUAAGAUUUGGGGAACAGCUUUAUUUUGGACAAUUCGGUGAAGUUGCUGCUACCUAUCCACGGACUUCGCUGGGAGUGUAUCAUGCUGUUUGCACUAACAUAUUUACAUAUUUAUUGUAAUUCUUCCAAACAGCGGAUUUAAUUUAAAAAAAUUAUCUUG